rnacentral:ncRNA from 1 species
GAAGAUAGAGGCUGCGGUAUCGAUCAGUAAGGAGCAUGCGAGGCUCUCCAGGCCGUCUGAGCAUCCCCGAAAGGUAAUGCCGCCGAAGAAAACAGCUAUGGCAACGCUGUUUGUCUGGGGCCGUGCUGAACAAGCCCGGCACUCUCAUCGCGGUUGAGAUGGGGAGCUAUCUUG